GAUCAUGGCUCAGGAUGAACGCUAGCUACAGGCUUAACACAUGCAAGUCGAGGGGCAGCAUGGACCCAGCUUUGCUGGGUUUGAUGGCGACCGGCGCACGGGUGAGUAACGCGUAUCCAACCUGCCCUUUACUCCGGGAUAGUCUCCUGAAAGGGAGUUUAAUACCGGAUGUGUUUGUCUUUCCGCAUGGGAGGCGACAAAUAAAGAAUUAAUUUAGGUAAAGGAAGUGGGGAGUGCGUCCCACUUAGCUUGUUGGG
rnacentral:rRNA from 1 species